CCUUGUCAUUGUUGCUGAAUACUUCAAAAUAUCCAGUGCCGCUCUUUGACCAAAGUCAGAUGCCUUUCCGGAGUUAUGCCCAGGAUUCACACUCCGUUCACUUUUUUAGAUUGCUUUAUGAUGGUUAACUGGUUUAAAUCAAAUUUCUGGAAGGCACGCACGAUGCUUGUUCCUGGGUGUGUUCCGUGGAUUAGGAAACGUGACUCGUGUGGCACAGCCCACAAAGCUGGGCUGAAGCUGAGAGAUCUCAUGGCUUUUACAUCUACUAUCGUACCAUUGCCUUAAAAUUCUUGUUUUCUAGCUGCUUUUAUAAAAUGGUUGAACCUUAAAUUUUAGAGUUGAUUUGGCAUCCGUGUAUUUGAUUUCAAACUACUUUUCAUAGAUACGGCCUUGGAUUUUGAGCUCCUGUUUAUUUCUUAGAAAAGUAUUGAUACUACAGGUGAUUUGCUACACAGAUGUGCAGCCCACCCUCUCUCUCCCUUCCCUCCCUUCCUUCCUCCCUUUCUUCCUUUCUUUUCCUCACCUGAGGAUAUGUGCAUUGGUUUUAGAGAGAGGGGAAAGGAGGGAGAGAGAGAGGGAGAGCAACAUCGACCAGUUGCCUCUCGUCUGGACUGGACUGAACCUGCGACCUAGGUAUGUGCCCUGAUGAGAAUUGAACCUGUGACAUUUUGGGCUACAUGUAUGACACUGCAACCAACCGAGCCACACUGCCCGGGGCUGCAGUCAUUUCUUGACUCAAAUGUCUGUGACAUAAUCUUUGUAACUAAAUCUUGAAGCUGUUUUGAGUUUUUUAGACUCUCCAGUUUGAAGCUGAGGUUGGCCGUCUGUGUGACAAGAGUGCUGGGGGUGGCCCACGAGCCAGUUUCCACUGGGAAGCCGGAGGGAGGGAGGUUUGCUGUGUGAUCCCUCUGCCCGUCUUUCUUGAAGUUUCCCCCCACCUUCCCCAGGACCUUUUAAGGCCUCUUGUGCUUUAGAGAGUUAAGACACUUUUCUUGGAUGUAAUCGUACUAGCACUUGACAACAUCUUUGUCCUCCUGUGUCUCCUGGGGGUCCUUUCUUCCAGCUUCUGAUAUUUCUGUUUCUCUUACAGCCAGGCUUCUGGCUUCUGGAGGGCCAAAUGUCCCUGUGGAUUUCCUUUAUGGUCGGUCCUGUCUCCACGUUUGCUGCUUCCUCUCCCUGUCAGAAGCCCUCUGUGCUGUGGUUGAUCUCUAGUUUGGCGGAAAGAGUACUGAGGCAGAAGAGUGUUUAUAAUAAUGACUGGUGGGUACCUGCCUUUUUGGAUACUGUUCUAGUGCUUUCCGUGCUUCCCACUGUGUUCCAGCUCCCACGAGCGGCUGAAUCGUGGGAGAGUGUCCCAGUCUGUGCCGGAGGCUGCUCGUUUGUAAAAUAACGUUAGUGAGUUUCUGGCCCUAAAGCACUGCGAUUGAGUUUGUUUACAUCACGAUAUGAUUGUAAAUCCCGACCAGGAGUACCCUAGCUUUUUGAAGGAUACCUGUUAAGCAAGACUAGGCUCAGUGUGGAGUGCUGCUUGAACCCCAAGAUCAGGAGAUCCAGGACUCCUUAAUUAGACUGUCGGCGGGCUGGCUGGCCUGCUUUUUCCUUCCUUCAGGAGUUUGGGGUGGGUCUCAGGGGCACUCUUUGCCGUUCUUGUGCUGUCUGCCUCAGGAGACCCAAAGUUGAACCCGAGCACUCCACUUUGGAGAGCUUGUUGACCCCGUGUCUGGAAGAUGCUGCUGCUUCUCAUCUCCGUGAUGGAGGAGCUGGGCUUCUAAAGCAUCCUUUUCUUGAUGGUAUUUUCACAACUAGGGGAGUUUCUGGGAACAUGCCUAAUACUGCUGUUUGUUCUUAAACAACUCAUAAAAACUGCUACCUCAGAUCUUUCUCUUGCAGAUUUGUGCACGGCCUGUGACCUUGAGUGCUUGCUUCCUAUUUCUAGGGGAAUUUUUGUUAGUGCUGAGUCUUGUUGUAAUGCUCACGACUACACCAAGCUUCUUAUCUGCCCCUUGUCAAGGUCACCGACGAUUGUUUUACUUUGUGUGUUUAUAUUGAUGUAACAGGCACUCAUUGCACAUAAUGUCCAUUUUCUAAAAAUAUAUAAUUUUUUGUUUUAUGCUUCCAGAAAGAUUACAUAUUUUUAUCAUUUUCUAUUUUUUAGCAUUUCAAAAUUGUAUAAUGCCUACUUUUUAUAAGCUCCGAAAUGUGUUUUCUGCUUUAUGCCUUUUAGUUUGUGCAAGUUUAUGAUGCUUGCUGCAUUUGUAGACUUCUCCUGUUUUCAUGGCAAAAGAUACCCAAAUCCCCCUUUGCUUGAAUUUUAAAGGGUUCGGAAUUAAGAUUCCUUCUGCUACUAAUCUGAUUCUUCGGAAAAGGUGCAUAGGAGUUUGGUCUUUGUCAUAGAUCUUGAGCAGUUUGGAACAAGGUUUUUAUACGGUAAAUGAAUCAACACCCAAUUUAGUCAAUUCAUGUUAUCUGCAGAAUGAAGAUCCUUUGAGAUUCUAAACAAUAGGAAUAUCCCAACAACAGAUUUGCUUUAAAAAGAUUUUUAAAGUGAUUAUCCAUCUGAUUAUCCACAUAAUAGCUAAAGAGCAUUUGCUCUUGUGUAGAGGACGUGAUAGUGGCAUCCUGGGCUUGUUCUGUGUCCAGUGGGCCCCAGCCCUGGGUGGAGAGGGGCCCACAUUGCUGGAGCAGCGGUGCCCAGGGAGUCCGACUGGAAAUGUCCCCUUCUGACUAUAUUUUGUUGUUGUUUUUGGAGAGUACCAGUUGUUUGAAAGCACUGAAUUGCAAUUAUAUGUUAUGAAUAUACAUAUUCCUUGCUAAUACACCUUUUUGGACCACUGUGCUCUUCUGGAGUUAAGAGGUCCAUGUGCUGGGAAGGUGACUGAUCAGAAACAUGCCAGGUCCUGGACAUGCCAGGUAGACAGUCCAGUGUGGUUCGGAUCGUUGCACUUUCUGUGUUACUUUUCACACGUUGCAUGCCUCCUAAUUCUCGACAUGGAGUCUAGGAACAGGCACAAGUAAACAUGUCCUUUCUGGGCAAAGUUUCUCUCCAAAACUGAACAGAAGGAAACAAACAGACAAAAGCACUUAAAUGUGUCUGGAGUCCAUCUGAACAGUUCGUGGGGUGCUGGUGCACUGAGGCCCUGGGGUGCUGAUGAGGGUUCUUGGCCAUUCCCUUCUUGCUGGCUUAUUCUCUUUCCUUCCUGACUUCUUUACUCUCUUGAUUUCCUUCCUUUUUCCUUUUUGGGUUCUUUUUUGUUUCUUCUGUUCUUCUUCCUCAUUCUUCGGCUUUUCCUCCCGUUCCUGGUGUGGAUAGCCCUGUCACAUUCUAUGGUUACCACAGGCAUCUUUUUAGCCUACUAAUGGCAGACCAGAGCUAAAGACAAGUUUUAAAACUCUGACAUUUAAGGCUAUUGUAGUCUGUAAAAUUCCAUGCUCGGGCAAACUCUUUCUAAAGAAUUUAACGUGUUUACGAAGCGUAUUACAUGUUGAAUGGAAAAGGUAUGUGAAAUGUAAAACUUCCCACACUCUUUGGGAUAUUUGAAUAGACAUUCAAAUUGGUUUCAGAUUGAAGUUCACAUUUUGUGCAAAAGGCCAUUCUUCCAAAAUUUAGGUAAUAGUAGUCAUGUAGACAAUGAAUUCCAGGAUUCUUUUGCUUACGACAUUUUUGGUAAACACAGGUGGUGUUCCAGUUAAAAUAAUGCCUUUAGACUCCCUAAAUUGUAACAGAGUUUGGUAUAAAGAAUGGAACAGCAUCAGAUUUGUUUUAAAUACCCAACUAUUACUUAUGUCACCAUCGAGGAUCAGAAUAUAUUACAGCUCUAAGAGGCUUCAGAGCUAGUUUAAUUCAAUCUGAGUUUAUGGAUGAGACAGUUGACGUAAUGUUACACGCCUGGGUGAUGGCAUCAUUGACCACAAGCAGGUCUUGCACUUUCCUGCCCACUCUGCUUUUUUUGGACGGAAGGUUAAAUUUAUGAAAUUGAGAGGUAAGAUGGGCAGAGAAGCCUGAGAAACGUAUGGGAGUUCUAAACCUUGCUUGACCUCUUUAGCAACGAAAUGUCGGACUAGGUGCUUAACCUCUUUGAGCUCAGUUCGGGAGGGUUGAACUCGGGUCCCUUCCAGGUCUGUGGCUUGUUCCCGGGAGAGGAAAUUGACACAGACAUGGAUUCAUGGAUUCUUUCUAUUGUGCAUUUGUGCAGUUUCAGUUUGUGUCUGUUUCAAGUUAGAUGUGGUUCGUGUGUUUUUAAGUAGGUGUCAUUUGUAAUUUUUGUUAGUGAAUCAAGUUUUCCGAAGUGUAGUGUUCCUGGACACAAGUGGUUGUGGGCAUGGCAGCAGCCUCUGGGUUCCGACGUGUCCAGCUUUAUCUUGACUAACGGAAGUUAACGCCUUCAGAGGCAGGUCCCCCAGCUGCACACCGGUGGGCAGGUCCUGCAGAGGGAUAUUCCACAGACAGCACCACCAAGCCUACCUGGAACGGCAGUGCGGCUCAGCUCCUGGGUGGAGGGAUGGAGGAGGACGUUACCUCUUGUUUUCUGGGAAAACACUUUUCACUUUUAACUCCUCACUCGGCUUAUGUUCUGGCAAGCAGUGUUCCAAGAGCUUUAUGUGAAUCAUGAAAUAUUCACAAAAACCCGAUGAGGCGUGCUACAAGUGGGGAAACCAAGGCCCACAGAAUGGCAUUUUGUAAACGCUUUCCAGAGUCGGAAGAGUUGGGACAUUUUACCAUCUGGAGUUUCUCUGCCUGGCUGAUCUGAGCUCCAACCUGCCAGUUUGUGGGAGAUGGUAGACAACACCCUGUAACAGCUGAGUUGCAAAAAUAUCUGCCUCUAAGGACUCAGGAGGACUUACUUAUGGGAGCAAAGGUAGUGAGUGAGUCAUACCUGCAAGCUGGGAAAUGAGAGUUCACUUGAGCCCUUCAUCCAGUCAGGAGGUUUCCUAGGCAACCAUUUAUGCAGUAAUUAAAAGAUGAGGAACUAAGAGG